AGGUAGAUAGUUUAAUGGUAAAACCUAGUCUCCAAAACUAGAAGAUGAUGGUUCAAAUCCUUCUCUAUCUG
rnacentral:tRNA from 1 species